AGGGUGUAAACGCUGCAGACUUGGUGUUGGAAGUCCUUUGGGGGCAUUCAGUGCCGGAGAGAAGUUGUUAAGUCUGCUACUUGGGGAGUACGUCCGCAAGGAUGAAACUUAAAGGAAUUGGCGGGGGAGCACCACAACAGGUGGAGCCUGCGGUUUAAUUGGACUCAACGCCGGGAAGCUCACCGGAUAGGACAGCAGAAUGAUUGCCGGGCUGAAGACCCUGCAUGACUAGCUGAGAGGUGGUGCAUGGCGUAGACGUGU
rnacentral:rRNA from 1 species